ACUAACAGGAUUCCCCUAGUAACUGCGAGUGAAGCGGGAAAAGCUCAAAUUUAAAAUCUAAUGGUCCUUGGCCAUUCGAGUUGUAAUUUAGAGAAGCGUCUUCCGCGCCAGACCAUGUACAAGUCUCCUGGAACGGAGCGUCAUAGAGGGUGAGAAUCCCGUCUUUGACAUGGACCCUUGGUGCUUCUGUGAUGCGCUCUCAAAGAGUCGAGUUGUUUGGGAAUGCAGCUCAAAAUGGGUGGUGAACUCCAUCUAAGGCUAAAUAUUGGCGAGAGACCGAUAGCGAACAAGUACCGUGAGGGAAAGAUGAAAAGCACUUUGGAAAGAGAGUGAAACAGUACGUGAAAUUGUUGAAAGGGAAACACUUGAAGUCAGUCGCGUCGAUCGAGACUCAGCCUUGCCUUGGCUUGGCGUACUUCUCGACUUGACGGGCCAGCAUCAAUUUCAUCCCUCGGAUAAUGGCAGGGGAAAGGUGGCACCUUCACCGGUGUGUUAUAGUCUCUUGUCGCAUGCGAGGGGUGGGAUUGAGGAACUCAGCACGCACCUCAYGGUGUCGGGGCUUCGGCCCACGUUACGUGCUCAGGAUGCCGGCGUAAUGGCUUUAAAUGACCCGUCUUGAAACACGGACCAAGGAGUCUAACAUGCCUGCGAGUGUUCGGGUGGAAAACCCGUGUGCGUAAUGAAAGUAAAAGUUGGGACCUCUGUCGUGGAGGGCACCGACGCCCGGACCAGACCUUCUGUGACGGAUCUGCGGUAGAGCAUGCAUGUUGGGACCCGAAAGAUGGUGAACUAUGCCUGAAUAGGGUGAAGCCAGAGGAAACUCUGGUGGAGGCUCGUAGCGAUUCUGACGUGCAAAUCGAUCGUCAAAUUUGGGUAUAGGGGCGAAAGACUAAUCGAACCAU
rnacentral:rRNA from 2 species